AUGGGGGCACUGGGAGACAUGGAGGCACUAGGAGACAUGGGGACAGUGAGACACUGGCAGACUGGGGGCACUGAGACACCAGGGACACUGGCUGGGAGACAUGGGGACACUGUGUCCCCAUGUGUCUGUGUCAUAAUGUCUCCCAAUGUCCCUUAGUGUCUCAGUGUCUGCCAUAAUGUCUCCCAGUGUCCCUUAGUGUCUCAGUGUCUGCCAUAAUGUCUCCCAGUGUCCCUUAGUGUCUCAGUGUCUGCCAUAAUGUCUCCCAAUGUCCUUAGUGUCUCAGUGUCUGCCAUAAUGUCUCCCAGUGUCCCUUAGUGUCUCAGUGUCUGCCAUAACGUCUCCCAGUGUCCCUUAGUGUCUCAGUGUCUGCCAUAAUGUCUCCCAAUGUCCCUUAGUGUCUCAGUGUCUGCCAUAACGUCUCCCAAUGUCCCUUAGUGUCUCAGUGUCUGCCAUAACGUCUCCCAAUGUCCCUUAGUGUCCCAGUGUCUGCCAUAAUGCCUCCCAGUGCCCCUUAGUGUCUCAGUGUAUGUCUCCUUGCAGCCUUUCCCCAUCCCUUACUUCCCUGAGCUGUAGGCUGUCUCUGCAGGGUGGGAGUUGCUGUCUGGACUCUCUCUAGCUGCACCCCUG